CAACUUUCAACAAUGGAUCUCUUGGUUCUCGCAUCGAUGAAGAACGCAGCGAAAUGCGAUAAGUAAUGUGAAUUGCAGAUCUCAGUGAAUCAUCGAAUCUUUGAACGCACCUUGCGCUCUUUGGUAUUCCAAAGGGCAUGCCUGUUUGAGUGUCAUU
rnacentral:rRNA from 1 species